rnacentral:rRNA from 1 species
UGCAAGUCGAGCGGUAAGGCCCUUUCGGGGGUACACGAGCGGCGAACGGGUGAGUAACACGUGGGUGACCUGCCUUCAGCUCUGGGAUAAGCCUGGGAAACUGGGUCUAAUACCGGAUAUGACUCCAUGAUGCAUGUUGUGGGGUGGAAAGCUUUUGCGGCUGGAGAUGGGCCCGCGGCCUAUCAGCUUGUUGGUGGGGUGAUGGCCUACCAAGGCGACGACGGGUAGCCGGCCUGAGAGGGCGACCGGCCACACUGGGACUGAGACACGGCCCAGACUCCUACGGGAGGCAGCAGUGGGGAAUCUUGCGCAAUGGGCGAAAGCCUGACGCAGCGACGCCGCGUGAGGGAUGACGGCCUUCGGGUUGUAAACCUCUUUCAGCCCUGACGAAGCGAAAGUGACGGUAGGGGCAGAAGAAGCACCGGCCAACUACGUGCCAGCAGCCGCGGUAAUACGUAGGGUGCAAGCGCUGUCCGGAAUUAUUGGGCGUAAAGAGCUCGUAGGCGGUCUGUCGCGUCGGCUGUGAAAACUCGGGGCUCAACCCCGAGCUUGCAGUCGAUACGGGCAGGCUGGAGUUCGGCAGGGGAGACUGGAAUUCCUGGUGUAGCGGUGAAAUGCGCAGAUAUCAGGAGGAACACCGGUGGCGAAGGCGGGUCUCUGGGCCGAUACUGACGCUGAGGAGCGAAAGCGUGCGGAGCGAACAGGAUUAGAUACCCUGGUAGUCCACGCCGUAAACGUUGGGCGCUAGGUGUGGGAUCCCUUCCACGGGUUCCGUGCCGCAGCUAACGCAUUAAGCGCCCCGCCUGGGGAGUACGGCCGCAAGGCUAAACUCAAAUGAAUUGACGGGG